rnacentral:rRNA from 1 species
AGUGAACGCUGGCGGUAGGCCUAACACAUGCAAGUCGAACGGCAGCACAGUAAGAGCUUGCCCUUACGGGUGGCGAGUGGCGGACGGGUGAGGAAUACAUCGGCAUCUACUUUUUCGUGGGGGAUAACGUAGGGAAACUUACGCUAAUACCGCAUACGACCUACGGGUGAAAGCAGGGGAUCUUCGGACUUUGCGCGAUUGAAUGAGCCGAUGUCGGAUUAGCUAGUUGGCGGGGUAAAGGCCCACCAAGGCGACGAUCCGUAGCUGGUCUGAGAGGAUGAUCAGCCACACUGGAACUGAGACACGGUCCAGACUCCUACGGGAGGCAGCAGUAGGGAAUAUUGCACAAUGGGCGCAAGCCUGAUCCAGCCAUACCGCGUGAGUGAAGAAGGCCUUCGGAUUGUAAAGCCCUUUUGUUGGGAAAGAAAAGCAGCAGGUGAAUACCCCGCUGUUCUGACGGUACCCAAAGAAUAAGCACCGGCUAACUUCGUG